GCCAGCUCUAAUCUCAAUUACUCAAUCAAAUUCAUCAAACAAACAACAAAAAAAUGUCUCUCUCGAAAACUGCAUCUGCAUCUAAUGCUUCUGUUCACUCCACUUUCUCUUCCAGAUAUGUUCGGGCCUGUCUACCCAGGUUAAGAUUUCAGAUAGAUCGAUACUGAUGGAAGCAACUUAUCGAAUCCAAGGUUGAAUUUGGUGAAAUUGAAGGAUUUCCUUCAAUCUAAAACUAGGGUUUCUUAAAUGGGCUUCUUCUCUGUCGACUUCUACUUCUUAUCUAGGGCACAUAGUUCCCGACGGAUGUGCGGUUGAAUUAUCAAUUGUGACUAUCCAAGUGCUUAACGGUUGUGGAUCAAAGGGAAAUUAGCACUAACAAUAAAAUCUAUGCUGACUAGUUUGGGGAUUUCAUAUGAUUGUAGGUGAUAGAUACACCAAGUAGCUUUUUGAGCAAAGAAUAAUUCAAGAAUACUAUCUAAUGUUUGACACUGAGUUUUUAUUCAUGAGAUGGGUAUAAGAACAGUGGAGUUAGAUGCUGAAGGUCUUGAGCUGCUUCAGCAACGUCGUCGUUUCGAAGAGCCUUAUGAGACGGUUGUGAGAUUAAUUCCAAUAAUAUCAGAUGUUAAUCAAGUGAUGAUAUGAGAUUAAAAGGGUUGGGAGAAGAAACUAUUGUUAAUGAAGCCUUUGAUAAAGGGAAGAAAUCUUGGAUUGAUCAAUUGAAUCUUGGAAUAGCACCCACUAAACUUCAUCUUUUUUAGGUACAAGGGUGAUGCUACUAAAGAACUUAAGUGUGAAGGGCAGAUUGCUUAAUGGUACUACUGGUACAAUUAUAGGUUUUAAAAAGUCACGUAAGAGCGAUGUUGCGAAGAUAUGUGAACAUAAACUUUUGCCAUUUUGUAAUUUUAGUGUGUUAAAUUUAAGUUAAUAGAAUUAUAUAACAUUUAUAGUUCUUUGUUUUUUUCGAAGAUAAUAGAUUGUUGUAUAUUAUUUUUAAGUUAUGAGACAGUGAGACGCACAUUUGAUAUGAUAGAAAUGAAGUUAGAUCGUA